AACGAACGCUGGCGGCGUGCCUAAUACAUGCAAGUCGAACGAGAAAGUGGCUUCGGCCAUGAGUAAAGUGGCAGACGGGUGAGUAAUACAUGGGUAACUUACCUCCAAGAUGGGGACAACCUUCCGAAAGGAGGGCUAAUACCGAAUGAGACCACAGUGACAUAUGUCACAGGGGUUAAAGGUGGCCUCUAUUUAUAAGCUAUCACUUGGAGAGAGGCUCAUGCACCAUUAGCUAGUUGGUAGGGUAACGGUCUACCAAAGCUCUGAUGGUUAGCUGAUCUGAGAGGUUGAUCAGCCACACUGGAACUGAGACACGGUCCAGACUCCUACGGGAGGCAGCAGUAGGGGAAUAUUGCGCAAUGGAGGAAAACUCUGACGCAGCCAUG
rnacentral:rRNA from 1 species